GGAGAGAUGGCUCAACGGUAAGAGUACUGACUACUCUUCCAGAGGUCCUGAGUUCAAUUCCCAGCAACCACA
rnacentral:tRNA from 1 species